UUUAGAAGACGAUGCAGUAUCAGAGAGGCGAUUUCAACAAAUGAUCAAUAAUAAUUUCAUUCGAAUAUCUUAAAACCUGACGAAUCUUAUGAUCCCCAAAAAACUUCGUCUUAAAAAUCGUUGGCUCGAAACCGUUUUUUUUACCCAAAGCUACUUUGAAAAAGUUAUUUGGAAUGAUCUGUAGAACAUUUNUCGCAAAUGCAAUAUUUUCGCUUUUUGGCCCCCAGUAAAUCGACCCGCUCUACAAUGUGUAUACUAAAAUUCCUGCUUUCAACAUCUUUUGAUCGACACCAAUACCAUAGAGUUUUAUACAAAUAUCAUAUAGUAUGUAAUCGAACAACCUGUUGUUUGUAUGUAUUUUCUUUGAUAACAGUUUUUAGCCUUCAGAUGAAUGAUAAGUUCAAUAUUUAUACAGUUGAAAGUAGAAUAUUUAAACGUCAACCGAUUUUCGCAACGCACAACUUCANUUAGGAAUUUACGUAGUCUGCCAUGUACAUAUAUACAUACAUACAUACUCUCAUCUGCUAUGUACUUCAUGUUAAUGCAAAUUGUGUAUGUUCACUUCGGUUAUCUGCGCUGACGCCAAGUCAAGUGGAAUUAGUUAUGUUAUUGUUGUGACACUGGCCUUUUGUGUAUCAAUUCGCGUGGCAUAAUGAAAAAGUCAAACAGAUAAUUUACUGUUUACUUUUCGGGCCGCAACUGCGCACUGAACUUUUAUUUAAUAAAAUACUUUUAUUUUAUUGAUGAAAAUAUGGCUGCCAUAAAUGAAUGGUUUUUGUUGCGCCAUUUCCGUUAUUGUUGUUUGGUAAAUUCAAAUACGAAAAUAUACUGUUAAGAUACGAAUUUGUUCAUAAAUUGAGGGAGUUCAGUUUGAUACGUAGCUGCGGAAAAUCCAGUCACAAACCAGAGACCACAAGGCAUUAUCGCUUAAGAGUGACCGUGAAAUUAAAUAUAAAGUUCGGAUACUUGAUGUUGUUCAAGUAGCUAUAAAAUCAAAAACGCGUUUUGAAAAGGCUGCUCGUUCUCUCCUGA
rnacentral:misc_RNA from 1 species